CCUACGGGAGGCAGCAGUGAGGAAUAUUGGUCAAUGGGCGUAAGCCUGAACCAGCCAAGUAGCGUGAAGGAUGAAGGUCCUAUGGAUCGUAAACUUCUUUUAUAAGGGAAUAAAGUGCGGGACGUGUCCCGUUUUGUAUGUACCUUAUGAAUAAGGAUCGGCUAACUCCGUGCCAUCAGCCGCGGUAAUACGGAGGAUCCGAGCGUUAUCCGGAUUUAUUGGGUUUAAAGGGAGCGUAGGGGGGUUUUUAAGUCAGGGGUGAAAGUCUGUGGCUCAACCAUAGAAUUGCCGUGGAUACUGGCAGGCGUGAGUAUGUUUGAGGCAGGCGGAAUGCGUGGUGUAGCGGUGAAAUGCUUAGAUAUCACGAAGAACCCCGAUGGCGAAGGCAGCUUACUAAGCCGUGACUGACGCUGAUGCACGAAAGCGUGGGGAUCAAACAGGAUUAGAUACCCGAGUAGUC
rnacentral:rRNA from 1 species